rnacentral:lncRNA from 1 species
UGCAUGUUAAUUAAGGGUGCUUUAGAUUGGGGAAUUAUUUUCUGAAUUAAGUUCUUUUUACUAGGGUAUGUGUCGUUUCAGUUUCUAAUAGGCUGGGGUUCCGCAUCACUCUAUAAGGACUCUAAACAUCUCUCCAAAAACUCCCUAAAACAUCAUAAAACAUGCGUAGAAAACAGGCAAAGGAAGGUUGGGCAGGGGACUUUCGGCGGCAGGUUCGGCGGCCGAGGGUCCCUACAGAUUCGAAAGUUAGGCACUUUCGGGUGCAAGGUUCGGCGGCCGAAGGUCCCUAUAGAUCCGAAAGUCAUUAACCUUUGGGGGCAGGUUUGGCGGCCGAAACUCCCCUCCAGAGCCUAAAGUCCAUGCUUUCGGGGGCAGUUUAGGCGGCCAAAGGCUACCUUCCCAGGCAGGUUCGGUGGCCGAAACUGGCUUCGGCGGCCGAACCUGGGUUCUCCUGAAGGGUAGAACCCAAUUCUGCCUCACAUAACCAGCCACCCAAAACUCCCAAAACUCACACUCAACUUCCUACAACAUGCAUACACACUUAUUUAAGCAUAAAAGGGCAUAAAACUAGUCUAAACCCCAACAAACAUCAACAUAGAAUCACAUUUUCAUAUAUUUAACAAUAAACCAACAUAAACCCUAACAUUUUACAACUACCCUAAACAUGCAUCA